AACUGAGAGAAAACUCCCUGAAUGAAGCAAACUCUGGAACAUCUGCUGUUGGAGAAACAGAACUGCAGCACUGAGAUUGGAGGAAGCAGAUGGAAGAAGAAUGGGAGGAGUUGAAGGAACCUGAAAAAUACUCACCAACUGUGGACUCUCAGAGACGGACUGUGGAGUCGUGGCUUCAGCCCUGAAGUCCAACCCGUCCCACCUGACCGAGCUGGACCUGAGCAAGAACCAGCUGAAGCAUUCAGCAGUGGAGCUCCUGUGUGCCGGACUGCAAAGUCCAAACUGCAGACUACAGAUUCUGAGGUGGGAUUGUUCUGCUGUUGUCCCACCGCUCUGAAGACGUCAGCCUUCUGACAAAACUCCUGUCUGGAGAACUUCCUGUUUGCUGUCCUUCCAGAACUUCUGACUAUCUUCAGCGGUUUCUCAGGUCAGACACCUUUCAGUCACCAACCAGGUUGUGACUCCUCAGCUCUUGACCUGUCAUUACCCAGGUAUUCUUGAGGACCAGAAAAUAUCACACAAAGGAAUGUUGGAGUCUUGAAACCUGUGAUCAGCUACAUGGAGCUCCUCGCCUGGUUCCGAUGGACCCGGAUCUCCAAAGAGCUUUGAUGGAAAUGUCCUGAGAACCUCUCAGAGGACGUCUGCCUUCAGUCUGGAGCUUUGGCAGAGGUCCAUGCUGGAGUCAGCUGAACUAAUGAAGUCUUCUUCUGCAGCAGAAGAGCUCCACCCACAGUCAGAAGUGACAGCAGAACCAUCAGAACUCUGCCGUCCGGGUCUGGCGUUUAAAUGCUAUCCUGCAGAUGCCGAGCUGCUGGUGAUCACCUGAACUCACCUGUUCCUUCACAGACCUUCUCUCUCUCUGCUUC